GCCUAGCUAGCUCAAUCGGUAGAGCGUGUGACUCUUAAAAACCUGAAAAUAUGGUAUUAAAGUCAUCACAAGGUUGGGGGUUCGACCCCCCCGUUGGGCU
rfam:Nadsonia fulvescens var. elongata DSM 6958 unplaced genomic scaffold NADFTscaffold_3, whole genome shotgun sequence.